AUCCCCACAGAGGCAGGUUCAACAGUUCCCCUGUAGAGGAUCUUUAGAGGGCUGUUCUCUGUUAAUGGCUCAUUACCCUUUGCCACUGGAAUUGUGACUCCAGUGGUAUAACUCCCUCUUCGGUUCCCAAGUACUUUCAGAAGUUGUUAGCUGGCUUUGCUCUCCCUUGUGGCUCAUCUACAGUUGCCCCCAACAAGGGAACUCAGGAAGUAGGAAGUCAUCUUUCAGCACAAUGAAUACCAAUGGUGAAGAAAACUCAUCCAGUAUUACAGAAAUAGAAGAUAAAAAAGAGACAACAAAAUCAGUAAAUUCAGAAGAUAAUGGAGAUGCCACACAGAAUGUGGUGCUGACUAAGGAAAGUUCAUUUUUCUGUCCGCUCUCAAAAUUGUUUUUUUCUGCUGACGCUUUGAUAAAGGAAAACGAAAAAUCCCAUAACUUAAAAAAACAUGAGAUUUCCAUUACAGAAGCAAAAAACUAUCUUCUUCGAGUCUUAAACAUCAUAUCACUAGAAACACUGGGUCAAGAAGAACCAGUAGAGCAUACUCAGCCUGUUGUCUUAAAGAGCAAGAGUACUAUUUGUGACCCAAUAGGAAUGAUUAAAAUCCUACGCCAUAACUUAUUAUCAACACCCUCAGCAAGUGACAAGAGUGAAAAGAGCCCAAAGCCCCUCAAAGCAUUUGCCCCCCUUAACAAAUUCCCCUCUCCAAUGCACAUUUUUCCUUAUGAGGUGCUUGCCCAGCAUUGUCUUCCUUUCUUGGUACCUUUCAUAAUAAGAGAUGAUAUUAGGAAGAAGAAGAUUUUGUGCAGGAUACUCCUUUUCAAUAUUGUCCCUCCCAAAGGGAAAGUCUUCAGACCACAAGGAAAAAGACAAAAACAUUUUGAAAAAUUGCGCCAUUCAGAAAAACAAUUUAUGGAUCUGAGAGACCUCCAACGGAAAUACUAUAAGGGCUUGUUGAAAUGGAAAAAGAAACCUCUACCUACAUUCAAGGAAAUAAUUCCUAUUAUUGAGAAGACAUAUGUACCUGAAAUGCUCUCAAUGGAUUAUAAAGUCAAUCAGAAGUAAUAAUCCAAAUGUACCAUAAAGAGUGGGUUGUUUGUGUUAAGUAAAACCUUCCAUUAAAUAAAAUGGUGCACAUCUGUGA